AUUUGUCCACUGUCGUUGUGUGGUUUGGUGUGACCGGUGCAGGUGUGGAGGAGCCAUUGUGCUGUGGCUGUGCGCACACUGGAGCUCUGUUUGGCGUGUUGGCCAUCGUGGCGCACGCUCGUUCUGCAGCGUACAGGUGGCGGAUUACUGUCGCCGUGGGGACCGGGCUGCCCCGCUGGAAGCCCCUUGCGUGGGUUUGUGCAUCCUCUUGUUUGGAUCAGGCAGAAGUCGGGGAGUAACUCCGCUGCUUGGCCUGCUGUGACGCUGCGCCGGUGAGGUCGAUUUGGAAACUGAUUCAACGCCACGGCUCGCUGGACGGCGUUGCUGUUUUGGCUCUAUUUGGACUACAGGGUGCUGUGGGCUCCUGGCGGCGACCCAAUCCCUGGUGGCGGUUCUUCACGUUUUCAGUUUGUGUGUGUGCAGUGUCACGGGUGUUUUAGUUUCCCCCUCCCUCAUUGGUUUCGGGCCGCCGAGGUAACCCAGCACUGUCCAUUCCCCCUUCUCCUA